UAAUACAGAGACUGCAAGCGUUAUUCGGAUUCACUGGGCGUAAAGGGUGCGCAGGCGGCCAAGUGUGUCAGGUGUGAAAGCCCGAGGCUCAACCUCGGAAUUGCGCCUGAAACUGCAUGGCUAGAGCAUUGGAGAGGGUAGCGGAAUUCACGGUGUAGCAGUGAAAUGCGUAGAUAUCGUGAGGAACACCAGAGGCGAAGGCGGCUACCUGGACAAUUGCUGACGCUCAGGCACGAAAGCGUGGGGAGCAAAAGGG
rnacentral:rRNA from 1 species